rnacentral:lncRNA from 1 species
AUGUCCCAAAAGCAGGUUGGCGCCCCCCCAGGCGACAGCGCGGUUGACUGGUGCCUCUACCAGCUCAAUGGAGCCGCCGAGUUCGAGGUCUCCGAAGGUGAGUACGGGGCGCUGAGUUGGGGUGCAGCCAAGUGGCCGUUCCCACGUCCUGUUGCCCGCUGGUGGCUUGCAGACUCCAGGCCGAUGGCCUCGAAACGUGGCGGCUGCUCUUGGCCUAACGAGGAUGGCUGUGGGUGGUGGAGAGUUUGGCUGCGCUCAGGGAAGGUGGGGAAAGGGGCUCAGGCUGCUGAGGGGCCUGGUGUGAGCACCUCGGCCGGUUGGCUUCUGUGGGGAGAUGUUGGGUUUUGUCCUAUGGGACGAGGUGGCAUCAGUCCACUUGGGCACUUGGCGCUGCUGUUGCUCGUGAGGCCAUGCAGUACAUGUGAGAGUUUUGUGCCUUCGUUGUGUUUUCUUAACUUUGAUGGGAGUUGUAACUUGGAAAGGCUCGUUUCUGAAUAUUCUUUAAAAAGGAGCUGCCUUUUGGUGCCUUCUGCCUCUGAACCACUUUGAAUAUACACUAUAUUUCAACCUCUGUUUUCCA